AGUAAGUAUGAUUUUAUGAUACCCUAGUGAUUACUAGUAAAUUGUGGGGGGACGUGAGGGGGUGGUUUGGUUUUUAGAUUUUCAAGACAUUGUUUUUCUAUCUUACCUUAGCUGUCCUGGAACUUGCUUUGUAAAUCAGGAUGGAUGCAAACUCACAGAGAUCUCUCUGCCUCUGUCUCCCAAGUACUGGGAUAAAAGGUGUCCACCACCACUGUCCAGUGUACUUUGUAUUUUAUUCCUCUCUGACCUCAUGAAGAAAUACAAAGUUCUUAGAAGUGAAAUCGGUUCCUUUGGACCAGGGACUUUCUACCUAGUCUUGGGAAAGCCCCACCCCAUGCUUACAGGGAACAGAUUGAAAGCUCAUUUCCGGAUUUUAAUUAAAUACUAUUAAAUUUGCAGUAAUAAGCAGGGAACAACACUGUUGCAAUGUGGAAGGAUUACUAAAUACAAAGGUAAGCACACAGUGGCAAGACCCCAACUGUUUCUUGGUACUGUUUUUAUUUUUUUUUUAAUUUAAUGGA
rnacentral:lncRNA from 1 species